rnacentral:rRNA from 1 species
AGAGUUUGAUCCUGGCUCAGGAUAAACGCUGGCGGCGCACAUAAGACAUGCAAGUCGAACGGAAGUCGUUGUAAUGAAAUGGAAAUGGACAGAGAACUUGUUCGAAGAAAGUUGAAGUAGACUUACAACAAUGGCUUUAGUGGCGGACUGGUGAGUAACGCGUAAGGAACCUGCCUUUUAGAGGGGAAUAACAAUGAGAAAUCAUUGCUAAUACCGCAUAUGCCGAGAGAAUCACAUGGUACAAUCGGGAAAGGAGCAAUCCGCUAAAAGAUGGCCUUGCGUCUGAUUAGAUAGUUGGUGGGGUAACGGCCUACCAAGUCGACGAUCAGUAGCCGGACUGAGAGGUUGAACGGCCACAUUGGGGCUGAGAUACGGCCCAGACUCCUACGGGAGGCAGCAGUCGGGAAUAUUGCGCAAUGGAGGAAACUCUGACGCAGUGACGCCGCGUAUAGGAAGAAGGUUUUCGGAUUGUAAACUAUUGUCGUUAGGGAAGAGAAAGGACAGUACCUAAGGAGGAAGCUCCGGCUAACUACGUGCCAGCAGCCGCGGUAAUACGUAGGGAGCGAGCGUUAUCCGGAAUUAUUGGGUGUAAAGGGUGCGUAGACGGGAAGAUAAGUUAGUUGUGAAAUCCCUCGGCUUAACUGAGGAGCUGCAACUAAAACUGUUUUUCUUGAGUGCAGGAGAGGUAAGUGGAAUUCCUAGUGUAGCGGUGAAAUGCGUAGAUAUUAGGAGGAACACCAGUGGCGAAGGCGACUUACUGGACUGUAACUGACGUUGAGGCACGAAAGUGUGGGGAGCAAACAGGAUUAGAUACCCUGGUAGUCCACACCGUAAACGAUGGAUACUAGGUGUAGGAGAUAUUAAGUCUUCUGUGCCGUCGCAAUCGCAAUAAGUAUCCCACCUGGGGAGUACGGCCGCAAGGUUGAAACUCAAAGGAAUUGACGGGGGCCCGCACAAGCAGUGGAGUAUGUGGUUUAAUUCGAAGCAACGCGAAGAACCUUACCAAGGCUUGACAUAUACAGGAAUAUUUAAGAGAUUAAAUAGCUCUUCGGAGUCUGUAUACAGGUGGUGCAUGGUUGUCGUCAGCUCGUGCCGUGAGGUGUUGGGUUAAGUCCCGCAACGAGCGCAACCCCUGUCCUUAGUUGCCAGCAUGUAGAGAUGGGAACUCUAAGGAGACUGCCGUAGAUAAUACGGAGGAAGGUGGGGAUGACGUCAAAU